AAUCGAACCCGGAGAUAGCUGGUUCUCCUCGAAAUAGCUUUAGGGCUAGCCUCAUGGAUCAUUGAUGGGGGUAGAGCACUGAAUGUGCGCGGGGGCCACAAAGCCUACCAAACGCUAUCAAACUUCGAAUACCAUACAAUGCAGACCAUGGGAGUCAGUCCGCGAGAGAUAAGUUCCGCGGGCAAAAGGGGAACACCCCAGAUCAACCGCUAAGGUCCCCAAGUUCACGUUAAGUGGAGAAGGAUGUGGAAUUGCACAGACAACCAGGAUGUUGGCUCAGAAGCAGCCACACAUUUAAAGAGUGCGUAAUAGCUCACUGGUCGAGUGAUUGUGCGCCGAAGAUGUCCGGGGCUAAACGUGACACCGAAGCGAUGGGUGCAUCUGAAAGGAUGCGCGGUAGAGGAGCAAUGUGCAGAGGCAGAAGCCGUAUCGAGAGGCACGGUGGACACUGCACAAGAGAGAAUGCCGGUAUGAGUAGCGAGAGGCAUGCGAGAAACAUGCCCGUCGAAAGCCCAAGGUUUCCUGGGGAAGGUUCAUCCGCCCAGGGUAAGUCGGGGCCUAAGCCGAGGACGGAAGUCGUAGGCGAUGGACAGCAGGUGUAGAUUCCUGCACUACCGAUGGAAUGAAGCAGUGACACAGAAGGAUAACUCGAGCAGGGUGAUGGUCAACCCUGUGCAAGCAUCAAGGUUGGGUUGUAGUGAAGUACGCAACCCUAUAAGCUGAGGUGUGAUGCGGACCGAAAUUUCAGUAGGGAAGCGAGUGAGUUCACGCUGGCGAGAAAAGCUGCUAGUAUAUCCAAAGGUACCCGUACCGGAAACCGACGCAGGUGGGCGAGGAGAGAAUCCUGAGACGAACGGGAGAACCCUUGUUAAGGAACUCGGCAAAAUGACCCCGUAACUUCGGGAUAAGGGGUGCCUGCGAGAGCAGGCCGCAGAGAAUAGUCACAAGCGACUGUUUAGCAAAAACACAGGUAUCUGCGAAAGCGAGAGCUGACGUAUAGGUGCUGACACCUGCCCGGUGCUGGAAGGUUAAGGGAACAUGUUAGAGCAAUCGAAGCAUCGAACCGAAGCCCCAGUAAACGGCGGCCGUAACUAUAACGGUCCUAAGGUAGCGAAAUUCCUUGUCGGGUAAGUUCCGACCCGCACGAAUGGUGUAACGACUUGUGAGCUGUCUCAACAGGGGGCCCGGUGAAAUUGAAGUAUGGGUGAAGAUGCCCAUUACCCGCGACUGGACGGAAAGACCCCGUAGAGCUUUACUGCAGCCUGAUAUUGAGUUUCGGUAACUGAUGCACAGGAUAGGUGGGAGUCUGAGAGACACGGGUUUCGGCUCGUGUGGAGACGAUGUUGGGAUACCACUCUUCGGUUACUGAAAUUCUAACAUAGCUCUGUGAAACCAGAGGAUGGACAGUGUCAGGUGGACAGUUUGACUGGGGCGGUCGCCUCCGAAAGAGUAACGGAGGCGCCCAAAGGUACCCUCAGAAUGGAUGGAAACCAUUCGAAGAGCGCAAAGGCAGAAGGGUGCCUGACUGCGAGAUUGACAAAUCGAGCAGAGACGAAAGUCGGGCUUAGUGAUCCGGCGGUAUUGAGUGGAAAAGCCGUCGCUUAACGGAUAAAAGCUACCUCGGGGAUAACAGGCUGAUCUCCCCCAAGAGUCCACAUCGACGGGGAGGUUUGGCACCUCGAUGUCGGCUCAUCGCAUCCUGGGGCUGUAUUCGGUCCCAAGGGUUUGGCUGUUCGCCAAUUAAAGCGGCACGCGAGCUGGGUUCAGAACGUCGUGAGACAGUUCGGUCCCUAUCCAUCGUGGGCGUAGGAGUCAUGAGAGGAGCUGUUCCUAGUACGAGAGGACCGGAAUGGACGCACCACUGGUGCAACUGUUGUCGUGCCAACGGCAUAGCAGGGAAGCGAAGUGCGGAUGGGAUAAACGCUGAAGGCAUCUAAGCGUGAAGCCCACCUCAAGAAUAAGACUCCACAAUAGACCCCUGGAGGACUACCAGGUAGAUAGGUCAUCGGUGGAAGCGCUGUAAGGCGUGU
rnacentral:rRNA from 1 species